rnacentral:rRNA from 1 species
CAAGACCUCUCACUAUUGGAGCGGCCGAUGUCUGAUUAGCUAGUUGGUGGGGUAAAAGCUCACCAAGGCGACGAUCAGUAGCUGGUUUGAGAGAACGACCAGCCACACUGGGACUGAGACACGGCCCAGACUCCUACGGGAGGCAGCAGUGGGGAAUUUUGGACAAUGGGGGCAACCCUGAUCCAGCCAUGCCGCGUGCGGGAAGAAGGCCUUCGGGUUGUAAACCGCUUUUGUCAGGGAAGAAAUUGGACUUACUAAUACUAGGUCUAGAUGACGGUACCUGGAGAAUAAGCACCGGCUAACUACGUGCCAGCAGCCGCGGUAAUACGUAGGGUGCAAGCGUUAAUCGGAAUUACUGGGCGUAAAGCGUGCGCAGGCGGUUUUUUAAGACAGGCGUGAAAUCCCCGGGCUUAACCUGGGAACU